rnacentral:rRNA from 1 species
UACGUAGGGUGCAAGCGUUGUCCGGAAUUAUUGGGCGUAAAGAGCUCGUAGGCGGUUUGUUGCGUCGGCUGUGAAAUCCCGAGGCUCAACCUCGGGUCUGCAGUCGAUACGAGCAAACUAGAGUGUUGCAGGGGAGACUGGAAUUCCUGGUGUAGCGGUGAAAUGCGCAGAUAUCAGGAGGAACACCGGUGGCGAAGGCGGGUCUCUGGGCAACAACUGACGCUGAGUGAGCGAAAGCCAGGGGAGCAAACGGG